UUCCGGGAAAAAGUUUCGGUUUUUCUGUUGUCUGCGAUGAGGGGCCUGUGAGGAUUUUGUGGGGUAUCUCUUUUCCUAUGUGGGUUUCGAGAUUGGUCAGAGUACUUUGCAUGCCUCUGUCGUACGGUUAAUUUCUAUUCUGUCUCGGUCAUGCUAAGUGGAAGUGGCAUCCAGUUGUUUCGAUCGUAAAUUGCUUCCUUGACGAGAGAGCUUCAGAGUUCUCCAGUUGAUUGAGUAGAGAGGAUUUGAUUUUUUUUUGCGAUCGGUGGUCCACCACUUGAGAAUUUCCGCGUAUAACCUGUGUAUCUGCGUGCAUUAAGAAUAAAGAUCGGAGCUUGUGCAUCAGAGCAUGAAUGUCUUAAGUGAAAGCUGCUGACUUACAGAAGAAUUGGUUUAAUGGGAUUCGAAUUUGUCUUUACUGCAUUGGUUAUGGUGAAUGGAUAUUGGUGCUUGUGGGGAUAUAAUCAGCAUCCGAGUCAUAUGUUCAGUGAGGAUUUCCUCUUAAUGCUGAUGUUUGAAGGCGCAAGAUAUGGAGGUUGAUUCUGUAUGAGAUGACUUUGUACAGGAGGAGGGAACUGGAAUAUCCUUGGCCUGUCAAUUGCAUUUCUUUGCUUCUCAGGAUAUGUGUGUGGAUGCUUGCUGACUCAAUAUUUAUAAUUUGCAUUAUACGAAAUUGAAGGUUGUGGACUUCUAUCUUGGACCAUCAAUCAUCUCUUUUCAUUCAGUGUAGAUGGAAACUGGGGAAUAGUUAAUCUUUAGUUAAGAUCUGCAAUGCAAAGAUAGGCUUCAUUGUAUUGUUUAGGAAAUGCUUGAGAAUGCUGAUUUUCUCUUGAACCGAUAUGUUGUUACGUGCGUGGAUAAGGUUUAAGGAUCAUGAUGUUUGCUUAAUGCAAUAUCCAGUUGAUACUUUGAGAUUAAAAAAUGAUGGUACAAAAUUCAUCAGGCGUUGGUUAAAUCUGCAUUGAAGUUGAAACUCCUGGGAAGCUGUUGAGUCUCACAGUCUUUGUUUAUUACAUUAUUGUCGGGUAGCUAUUGUUACGAAUUUCUUUGUUGGGAUCGGCGCGUUUUUCUUCCAUCCAUGGUUUGUGCAAUAUGAGAAUGCAUGCAUCUGUUCUGCUCUAAUCAUUGUCCAAAGUGCAUAUAUAUUUUCCUGUAGACUGCAAAUGCAUUAUAACAGAACAGUUUAAACCAGUCAAGAAAUAAUGGGUCUUGUGAGACACUAUAACAGUAUAUUACUUGUUGUGUUGAAUUUAGUGGCAUGUAGUCCUUAGAAAUGCUUACUGCUUUGAUAACGUGAAAAGGAGCACAUGUUGUCAGUGAUGUGUCAAGAGCCUGGCUUCGAGGGCAUCACCUGCUGCUUGAAGAAAAGAAACUAAGCUUGUGGAUGUUGGAAUCUUGAGUGGAGAGAUGUUUCCACUUUAUAUAAGAAGUGUUCUUCGUUAGGACUUUAUGAAUGCUUGCUUAUCUAGAAAUGGUCGUGUCUAACUAGUUUGUUAUUGGAUGAACCAG